CCUUCCGUGGAGGAAGAGGACCUGGGCGAAGAGUCGUCCCGAACGUCCGCGUCUUUGCCGCCGAAGACCUGGAGCGCCCGUAGACCGCGGGGCGCUAGGCACGGCCGUCGCCCGCAGAACAUGGCGCCGUGGACGUUCUGGCGCUGCUGCCAGCGAAGCUUGGGCUGGGUGCCGGUGAUUUUCAUCACGUUUGUGGUGGUCUGGUCCUACUACGCGUAUGUGGUGGAGCUGUGCGUGUUUACGAUUACUGGAAAUGGAGAAAACGGAAAGGCCGUUGUUUACCUUGUGGCUUUCCAUAUGUUCUUUGUUAUGUUUGUAUGGUCCUAUUGGAUGACAAUUUUCACAUCUCCCGCUUCCCCCUCCAAAGAGUUCUACUUAUCCAGCUCUGAAAAGGAACGUUAUGAAAAGGAAUUCAGCCAAGAAAGACAGCAAGAAAUUUUGAGAAGAGCAGCAAGGGACUUACCUAUCUAUACCACAUCGGCUUCAAGGACCAUCAGAUAUUGUGAAAGAUGUCAGUUGAUUAAACCUGAUCGUGCACAUCACUGCUCAGCAUGUGACAUAUGUGUUCUUAAGAUGGAUCAUCAUUGUCCUUGGGUGAAUAACUGUGUGGGAUUUUCUAAUUACAAAUUUUUCCUGCUGUUUUUAUUAUAUUCCCUAUUAUAUUGCCUUUUCGUGGCUACAACAGUUUUACAGUACUUUAUAAAAUUUUGGACGCUUUGCCGCAGGAAGUCUACAGAAAGUUGUCCAAAGAAUGAACUGUCUGAUACACGUGCAAAAUUCCACGUACUUUUUCUUUUCUUUGUGUCUGCAAUGUUCUUCAUCAGCGUCCUGUCACUUUUCAGCUACCACUGCUGGCUAGUUGGAAAAAAUAGAACAACAAUAGAAUCAUUCCGUGCUCCCACAUUUUCAUAUGGACCUGAUGGAAAUGGUUUCUCUCUUGGAUACAGUAAAAAUUGGAGGGAAGUCUUCGGUGAUGAAAAGAAAUAUUGGUUAAUUCCAGUAUUUUCAAGCUUGGGUGAUGGUUGCAGUUUUCCAGCUCGCCUUGUGGGGAUGGAUCCAGAACAAGCUUCUGUUACAAGCCAAAAUGAAUAUGCCAGAAGUAUUGGAUCAAAUCAACCCUUUCCUAUCAAACCGCUUAGCGAAUCAAAAAACCGAUUGUUGGACAGUGAAUCUCAGUGGACAGAGAUUAGAUCCGAAGAAGGCAUUGUCAGAUCAGGGACAAAUAACCAUGUUACAGUGACAGUAGAAAAUUGAGUACCACUCGUUCAUAACUAACCCUUUGAAUAAGAGCAAGGUUUAUAGAAAUACAUUAUGAACUGAUACUUUCAGUUUUAUUUGGAAGAAAAUGAUCAGUGGAAUAAAACAAAGUAUAAUAGAAGAUGUAUUUUAAAAAAAAAAGGAAGCCUUCGUACAGAUCACCGUUUCCACAGAAGCACUACUCCAGAGCAGGAAGAUGCCUUAAUCUCCCAGGUCCAUUUGUUCAGCACUGACCUGUGUCUACAGAAGUGACUACAUUUUACUUUGGAAAUAAUACUUUUAUGAGAUGCCGUAAUAUGAGCCAUCAGGUCACAUGUUUAACACAUGUGUUUCUUUGAUACCUGAGUUACAUUAGUAGAGUUAUUUCUUACUGUACAUUAUAAUUUUUCACACCAACAACACGAGCUAAAAACUUGUCUAAGUGAGUCUGUCUAGGACAGUGUGGUGGCUGAAAGAGUGUAAUCCUGGACCAUGGCUUGAAGUUAACUUUGCUCUGUCUUUUGGAUGGCCUAACCUAUAUUAACAGGAAAGCAGAACAUUUUUAAACUUUUGUUUCAAAAAUCAUAAUAAUGAAUUAUUUUGUUAAUAAAGAAGUAAAGAUGAAGUCCUGUAUUUGAGUAGUUUGUUGUUAUAAUGUGGUAUAUACUGAACAAGAGAAUAACUAUUAUUUUGAUUAACUUGAAAAUCAGGUAAAGUGGUGUUUAGUUAGAGAAAGAAAUUUAGCUAAUAAUUUGGGUAUUAUUAUUAUUAGGUAUUAUUUGCAUUGGAAUUGUCAUUUGCUUACUUUUUUACCUUAGAGGUAUACUUAGAAAGAGUUUAACGUAGCUUUUACUGAACAUAAUUUAAUUUUCAAUUUGGAAGUCACUUUAGAAUCUUAAGCACCUGCAAAUCACUUUUAAAGGUUGUUGAGUUGUGGUUAUUAAAAUAUUAAAUAAUUCAUUUUAUCUUAUGUAGAAUUCUUUUAUGGCAUCCGUACUCAUUCCUUCCAGUUUUAUAAUAAUGAGAUACCGAGGCUGCUGAAUAAAGCAAGAAGGCUCUGUGUUAGGGCUGUUAUUUCUAGUUUUGAGAUCAAUAAAAUUUCAAAAUAAUCUGCAGCAAGGGGCAAGUAUGGGCAAAGCAAUUUUUCUUUAUUUAUGGUACUCUUAUUUUAUUUAUUUAUUUAUUUUUACCAUGUGCAUGAAUUACUUUUAAGAAAGAAAAUAGGUACCUUGACAUUCUGGUGAAAGGUACAUUAUUUGAUACAUGAUGCUGGAAAACAAUUAACGAUUUGGCAAAAAAAAAAAAAAAAAGCUGCCUCUUCCACCCUUAACAUUUUACAUCAGAGCAAAUUCCACACUGGCCCAUAGACUUAAAAAUUGAAAACAGGUACUAGAAGAAGGCAUAGGUACAGAAUUUUAUAGUAGGAUAGGAAGGGUAGGAACUGGCAUAAUGCUGGUAAUCAUAAAGGAAAACAGAUUUGAGUACAUGAAUUUUUAAAAAGAGAGCUAAUAGGAAAAAAUAGAGAUAAAACCAGAACAGGAAAUUGACAAAGGUAAAUAAGAAUGAUCAAUGUACAGCAUGUAAAAAGAGGCUUCCUUAGUAAUCAAAAAAGUACAAAUCAAGACAUGAAGAAGACUACUGCCUAGGUUAAGCAAGAGCCAGUGUGGGAGGAUGUGGGCAAAGAAGCAUUUUUGCAGGGACCAUAACCUUCCUAAAAAGCAAUAUGGCUGUAUGUGUGGGUCUUCACUGUACGUCACCUCUGACUUAGUAACCUCGCCUUAUGACUGUAUACAGAGAUGUGUUUAUAAAGCUAGUUGGAGAAGUUUUUAAGCAGUGAAUUAGGAAAAAUAAUAUCCAUCAAUAGGAUAUUGGCUAAAUUGUAUUACUCUAUUCCAGAGACUACAGCAAAGGCAUUUAAAGAACCCUUUGUAUAGCUUCUUUCCAUGGGAAAGAUCUUAAAGACAUUGGGUGAAAAAAGUCAAAUUUCAGAAGUCUUCCCAUAUAGUAUGAUCUCAUGUUGAAUAUGGAUUGGGUGGCAAUAGAGCUCAGCAGUCCAGCACAGGGCCAUUAGUGCCCCAUGGCUGUGACCCCGCCAGAACCCACACAGAGCUGGGGGGCUGGCCAAGCAGCUUUUGGGUGAGUCCAGUGGGCCACCGGCUUCGUUAUAAUUUGCCUCAUGUGGCCCCAGCAAGUGACCACUGUCCAAUUGGAAGUUAUACCAACUAUAAACCUGUGUAUAUAGAUUAUGGACAAGUUGCUAUGUGCUGUUCCCUCAGCCUUUUAAAAUAAACUUUAAAUCUUUUUCUGCAACAUGUAGCCCCUAUGGGUGUGAAGAAGUUGCCAUAUAUGCUAAAAGUACAGUUUGAAGAAUUACUUGUUUUGUAAUCCUUUUUUGUUAAAACUCACUGGCAAGGAACAUCUGGAAAUGACUUUUGGGAAUGCAGUUUUUACACCACUUCUCAGACUCAUGGCCAUGUGUGGUGGGAGAGCAGAAGGCAGUGUGGUCCACACCAGAAUGUGCCCAUUUGUACAUGGUUAAUUGAUACUCUGUGUAUGUAGUGUUAUAGUGAUCAAACUUGGUCUUUAACUGAAACAUCUAGCCUUUCUGGAUGUUUAGACAUGGUCUUAAUACGUUAAAAGUAGAUGGAGUACAACUAGUCUGCAGGACAAAUAAUCUGCAUGAAUCAUGGCCUCAUCUACCCUGAGACCAGAAGAACUAGAUGGUGCCCAGCGACCACUACCAGCUGUUCUAAUCAGGCCCAUAGUAGAUGGACCCUGGUAGAAUGAGAGAAAAAUAUGGAAGACAACCUCAAAUUCCUUUUAAAAACAAGACAUCCUGGACUGGUACACAGACCGGAGGACUCCCCAAGACUACUGCCCUGAGAUAUUCUUCAAAACUUGAAGCGAAGCUAACCUCUGAGGUCACCUUGUAGCUAAAUAACAAAUAGGCUCAAACAAAUAAUAUUCACCUGAAAGUACUGUGCCCCUUUAAAAAAUCACCUAAAAAACCAAAUGGUCAACCAUUACAUUAAGACAAAGAUGAGACCGUAAGGGGGCAGGGAAACUAGUGCAAACAGAACAACCAGAAUGAAAAUAAUGAGACCACUCAUUGUGAAGAAUGUAACCUAUAUCACUGAGCAACUUGUGUAGAAAUUGUUAGUCAAAUGAUUGUCUUACUAUAUAGCAUAUAGUGUACCCUUCUGUGCAUUAAAAAACAUUAAAGAAACACCUCCAGAUACAUUAAAACAUCUUUAACAUAAUACAUUUUUUUUAACAAUAAUGUUUUGAUGGGCACCGCAAAGUAGCACCCAUUUGUUAUUACGAACCAUUGUAUGUGCCUCAAAUUUUUAAUAUAAUAAGCUUUAUGAGGGGUUCGUUCAUAAUUAUGGGACUGCCUGUAUAAUAGAAAAAUGUUAGUUUCAUUUCAUAUGACAAAUAGAAAAUGCAUUUUGUACCCUUCUUUUGAUUAUGUUCAUAAAGAAGACUUAAACAUUACUUUUAGAAGUAAAUUCUUGAUCUGUGUCUGCAGUACAACAUACCUAUAUUUUCUCCUGGUUGGGAAGAAAACAAAAUGAGGAGGGAAGGUUCCAUGUCAAAGUGUUAGAAGACUCAGAUUAUAACCAUUAUUCCAUAUGAGCAUUUCAUUCCAAACAGCUGUGUAUAUAGUGAACAUUUUAGGUCCAUAUUUUAACAUCUAGUCUUUCUAGAUGUUUUGACGUGCCAGAUGUGUUACAAAUAGUAAAAUAACCUUUUUCUACUUUUUGUUGUUAUUGUAAAAUUCAAAAUUUCAUGCCCUUUGGUGGUGUUUGUUUAUAAGGAACAACUGUUCUGGAAGUGAUGUUAAUCUAUCUCACUGAGCUAGUUCGCAUUUAUGCACUCUCUACUGGAGAAGUUAGAAAAGGGGGUUUAAAAGGAAGAAUUCUAUGCCAGUCUGUUCACUUUUAGAAAAUGGAAGCACACUGCCACAACCUUCUCUGUGGUGCAGCUGGUAGGUUCAAACAGCAGACCUUCAGGUUAGCAGCCAAGGACUUUAACCACUGUGGCACCAGGGCACCCCAGAAAAGGGUAUAUGAAAGGAAGAAUUCUAUGCGAGCCUGUUUGCUUUUAGAAAACACUCCACAUUAUAGUUCCAUAUGUGUAUUUUAUUUAACAUGCCUUAACAUGCCUGUGUCUCUAGGGGAUGAAAUUAACUUCCUUGUUUUGAAACCUCUUAGGCAUUCUAGGUGUUGUGAGGUGAUGCAUGCUAAAGUAGAGCUAGGAGAAAAACAUGUUUUAACAAAUGAAACAUUUUGGUUGUGGAAUUGUUAAACCACCUUUGAGAAGUACACAUUCAAUACUUGUUUAUUGGUUUGGGAGUGAGGGGCAAGAAACAGUACAAGGUUAGGGUUCUAUGCAUAUAUGUUCAUAUUUUAGAUUACAGCUAUAUUUUAUUUGGCUGUAUUUUAUAAACACACUCUCCAGAAGGGAGAUUAAGACUAGUGUGUCUUG